rnacentral:lncRNA from 1 species
CCAUCUGGUUAGGACUCAUAAUAGAGAGAUAGUAUCAUACGUUAACUGCACCUAAAGGUUCAUCAUUUUUUGUUCUGCUGGAUUGUCACUAUAUACUGCUAGAUGUCACUGGUAGAUUGUGAGACCUACGAGCAUCAUCUUGAUGAUCGAUGAUCCUUGAUGGAUAGAGUUGGAAUGGUUUCAACCCAUUAAAAAGAGUUUCAAUGAUAUGGUGAUAGGG